UCUAGAGCUACCACCUUUUUCACAGUUCUAAUUCCGAUGUUCGCAAUUACUGUUUUACUUCACUUUGACCAUUUAAGUAAUUCAAUUAAAUAGCAUUAUUUACAAAGAACACUUUUGGCCCUCUUUUAAAUUAAUUAAUGAAUUCUUUUAUAUUUUAUAGGUACUUUUAUCUGCCUGUUUCGUUUCACCAACAGUAUGGCAGCCUUCGCGAUAGCUUUUGGCGACGUACUUAUCGACCCCUUACCAAAUCGUAAAUUGUUGUUGCCGACGGCAACAUUUUGUUUGUCAAGUAUGAGCCUACUCGAUUGUCUUAAGAUUGGUUGUCGCUCGUUAUCGGACAACAACAGAAGAUUUUUAUUGUGCUUCAUCAAUACGUGUUCUGGCCUACACAGUGGUUUAUAGUAUAUGAUAAAAGAAUUAAUCAAUAAAUAACACAAAAUGUUCAAACCAAUAAAA